GAUGAACGCUGGCGGCGUGCCUAAUACAUGCCAGUCGAGCGAACAGACGAGGAGCUUGCUCCUCUGACGUUAGCGGCGGACGGGUGAGUAACACGUGGAUAACCUACCUAUAAGACUGGGAUAACUUCGGGAAACCGGAGCUAAUACCGGAUAAUAUAUUGAACCGCAUGGUUCAAUAGUGAAAGACGGUUUUGCUGUCACUUAUAGAUCGAUCCGCGCCGCAUUAGCUAGUUGGUAAGGUAACGGCUUACCAAGGCAACGAUGCGUAGCCGACCUGAGAGGGUGAUCGGCCACACUGGAACUGAGACACGGUCCAGACUCCUACGGGAGGCAGCAGUAGGGAAUCUUCCGCAAUGGGCGAAAGCCUGACGGAGCAACGCCGCGUGAGUGAUGAAGGUCUUCGGAUCGUAAAACUCUGUUAUUAGGGAAGAACAAAUGUGUAAGUAACUAUGCACGUCUUGACGGUACCUAAUCAGAAAGCCACGGCUAACUACGUG
rnacentral:rRNA from 1 species